UACGAAGGCGGCUAGCGUUGUUCGGAAUUACUGGGCGUAAAGCGCACGUAGGCGGAUUUGUUAGUCAGGGGUGAAAUCCCGGGGCUCAACCUCGGAACUGCCUUUGAUACUGCAAGUCUAGAGUCCGGAAGAGGUGAGUGGAAGUCCUAGUGUAGAGGUGAAAUUCGUAGAUAUUAGGAAGAACACCAGUGGCGAAGGCGGCUCACUGGUCCGGUACUGACGCUGAGGUGCGAAAGCGUGGGCAGCGAACAGG
rnacentral:rRNA from 1 species